CUAGGUGUGGGAGGUGUCGACUCCUCCCGUGCCGCAGCUAACGCAUUAAGUGCCCCGCCUGGGGAGUACGGCCGCAAGGCUAAAACUCAAAGGAAUUGACGGGGACCCGCACAAGCAGCGGAGCAUGUGGUUUAAUUCGACGAAACGCGAAGAACCUUACCUGGGCUUGACAUGUGCCUGACCGCCGUGGAAACACGGCUUCCCUCACGGGCAGGUUCACAGGUGGUGCAUGGCUGUCGUCAGCUCGUGUCGUGAGAUGUUGGGUUAAGUCCCGCAACGAGCGCAACCCCCGUCGCAUGUUGCCAGCAUUUAGUUGGGGACUCAUGCGAGACUGCCGGUGACAAACCGGAGGAAGGUGGGGAUGAUGUCAAGUCAUCAUGCCCCUUAUGUCCAGGGCUACACACGUGCUACAUUGGCCGGUACAGAGGGCUGCGAUACCGCGAGGUGGAGCGAAUCCCAAAAAGCCGGUCUUGGUUCGGAUUGGAGGCUGAAACUCGCCUUCAUGAAGGUGGAGUUGCUAGUAAUCCCGGAUCAGCAACGCCGGGGAUGAAUACGUUCNCCGGGUCUUGCACACA
rnacentral:rRNA from 1 species